rnacentral:rRNA from 1 species
ACGGGUGAGUAAUGUAUUGGAACGUACCCAGUAGCGGGGGAUAACUACGCGAAAGCGUAGCUAAUACCGCAUACGCCCUGAGGGGGAAAGCGGGGGACCGAAAGGCCUCGCACUAUUGGAGCGGCCAAUAUCGGAUUAGCUAGUUGGUGGGGUAAAGGCCUACCAAGGCGACGAUCCGUAGCUGGUUUGAGAGGACGACCAGCCACACUGGGACUGAGACACGGCCCAGACUCCUACGGGAGGCAGCAGUGGGGAAUUUUGGACAAUGGGGGCAACCCUGAUCCAGCCAUCCCGCGUGUGCGAUGAAGGCCUUCGGGUUGUAAAGCACUUUUGGCAGGAAAGAAAAGGGCCUGGUUAAUACCUGGGUCAAAUGACGGUACCUGCAGAAUAAGCACCGGCUAACUACGUGCCAGCAGCCGCGGUAAUACGUAGGGUGCAAGCGUUAAUCGGAAUUACUGGGCGUAAAGCGUGCGCAGGCGGUUCGGAAAGAAAGAUGUGAAAUCCCAGGGCUUAACCUUGGAACUGCAUUUUUAACUACCGGGCUAGAGUGUGUCAGAGGGGGGUGGAAUUCCGCGU